rnacentral:rRNA from 1 species
UACGUAGGCAGCAAGCGUUGUUCGGAAUUACUGGGCGUAAAGAGCGUGUAGGCGGUGUCGUAAGUUUGGCGUGAAAUCUCCCGGCUUAACUGGGAGGGUGCGCCGAAGACUGCGAUGCUUGAGGAUCGGAGAGGAAAGUGGAAUUUCUGGUGUAGCGGUGAAAUGCGUAGAUAUCAGAAGGAACACCUGUGGUGUAGACGGCUCUCUGGACGAUUCCUGACGCUGAGACACGAAAGCGUGGGUAGCAAACAGG